rnacentral:rRNA from 1 species
GACGAACGCUGGCGGCGUGCUUAACACAUGCAAGUCGAACGGUAAGGCCCUUCGGGGUACACGAGUGGCGAACGGGUGAGUAACACGUGGGUGAUCUGCCCUGCACUUCGGGAUAAGCCUGGGAAACUGGGUCUAAUACCGGAUAGGACCACUGCCUGCAUGGGUGGUGGUGGAAAGCUUUUGCGGUGUGGGAUGGGCCCGCGGCCUAUCAGCUUGUUGGUGGGGUGAUGGCCUACCAAGGCGACGACGGGUAGCCGGCCUGAGAGGGUGACCGGCCACACUGGGACUGAGAUACGGCGCAGACUCCUACGGGAGGCAGCAGUGGGGAAUAUUGCACAAUGGGCGCAAGCCUGAUGCAGCGACGCCGCGUGAGGGAUGACGGCCUUCGAGUUGUAAACCUCUUUCAGCACCGACGAAGCGCAAGUGACGGUAGGUGCAGAAGAAGGACCGGCCAACUACGUGCCAGCCGCCGCGGUAA